CCCAGUUCGGACUGUAGUCUGCAACCCGACUACACGAAGCCGGAAUCGCUAGUAAUCGCGGAUCAGAAUGCCGCGGUGAAUACGUUCCCGGGUCUUGUACACACCGCCCGUCACACCAUGGGAGUCGGAAAUGCCCGAAGUCAGUGACCCAACCGGAAGGAAGGAGCUGCCGAAGGUGGAGCCGGUAACUGGGGUGAAGUCGUAACAAGGUAUC
rnacentral:rRNA from 1 species